CCAGCCGGACGGUCUGUCGCCCUUUCGUUUUGAAUUUUCGGAACGUCGGGAGGAAAGUCCGGGCAGCGCAGAGCAUUUCGCUUUCUAACGGAAAGUUGUCCGCGAGGGCAAAUCAGUGCAGAAGAAAACAACCGCCUUCGGGUAAGGGUGAGAAGGUGAGGUAAGAGCUCACCAGCCGUCAUGGUGACAUGCGGGCUGUGCACAUCGGAAGCUGAAAGUUCAUGUAAACCGACGCCUGAGGGCUGCUCGUUCGAGUGGGUCGAAAGACCCUGCGUCGGAGGGUAGAACGAGAUGCCGGAGUUGGAGACUCCUCGGAGGCUUCAACGACGACACGGCGAAAGAUAAAUGACAGACGCGGCGACACGCCGCACAGAACCCGGCUUAUAGUCCGACUGGCCUU
rnacentral:RNase_P_RNA from 1 species